UGCAUGUAUAGGAAAAAUAUAGUUUAUACAGGGUUUGGUACUAGCCAUGGUUUCAGACAUCCACUGAGGGUCUUGGACCAUGCCCUCUAUGGAUAAGGCAG